AUUGAACGCUGGCGGCAGGCUUAACACAUGCAAGUCGAACGAGUGGCGGACGGGUGAGUAAUGCUUGGGAAUCUAGCUUAUGGAGGGGGAUAACUACGGGAAAAUGUAGCUAAUACCGCGUACCACAGGAUGAGCCCAAGUGGGAUUAGGUAGUUGGUGAGGGAAAGGCUAACCAAGCCGACGAUCUCGAGCUGGUCUGAGAGGAUGACCAGCCACACUGGGACUGAGACACGGCCCAGACUCCUACGUGAGGCAGCAGUGGGGAAUAUUGCGCAAUGGGGGCAACCUGACGCAGCCAUGCCGCGUGUAUGAAGAAGGCCUUCGGGUUGUAAAGUACUUUCAGUGGUGAGGCGUUACCGACAGAAGAAGCACCGGCUAACUCCGUGCCAGCAGCCGCGGUAAUAC
rnacentral:rRNA from 1 species